CCUACGGGAGGCAGCAGUGAGGAAUAUUGGUCAAUGGCCGUAAGGCUGAACCAGCCAAGUCGCGUGAAGGAAGAAGGAUCUAUGGUUUGUAAACUUCUUUUAUAGGGGAAUAAAGGUAUCCACGUGUGGAUAUUUGCAUGUACCCUAUGAAUAAGCAUCGACUAACUCCGUGCCAGCAGCCGCGGUAAUACGGAGGAUGCGAGCGUUAUCCGGAUUUAUUGGGUUUAAAGGGUGCGUAGGUUGUUUUUUAAGUCAGCGGUGAAAGUUUGUGGCUCAACCAUAACAUUGCCGUUGAAACUGGAAGACGUGAGUGUGUUUGAGGUAGGCGGAAUGCGAGGUGUAGCGGUGAAAUGCAUAGAUAUCACGCAGAACUCCGAUUGCGAAGGCAGCUUACUAAGCCAUAACUGACACUGAAGCACGAAAGCGUGGGGAUCAAACAGGAUUAGAUACCCGUGUAGUC
rnacentral:rRNA from 1 species